AGAGUUUGAUCAUGGCUCAGGACGAACGCUGGCGGCGUGCUUAAUACAUGCAAGUCGAACGGAGCCUAGUCUUUAGUUUACUAUAGACGAAAGCUUAGUGGCGGACGGGUGAGUAACGCGUGGAGAAUCUGCCCUCAAGACUGGGAUAACAGAGCGAAAGUUCUGCUAAUACCGGAUAUGCUCUGAGUGUCGCAUGGCACAAAGAGGAAAGCACAAGCGCUUGAGGAGGACUCCGCGUCCCAUUAGCUAGUUGGUGAGGUAAAGGCUUACCAAGGCGACGAUGGGUAGCCGGCCUGAGAGGGUGACCGGCCACACUGGGACUGAGACACGGCCCAGACUCCUACGGGAGGCAGCAGUAGGGAAUUUUCCGCAAUGGGCGCAAGCCUGACGGAGCAACGCCGCGUGAAGGAAGAAGGCCUUCGGGUCGUAAACUUUUGUCUUUGGGGACGAUAAUGACGGUACCCGAGGAGGAAGCCCCGGCUAACUACGUGCCAGCAGCCGCGGUAAUACGUAGGGGGCGAGCGUUGUCCGGAAUUACUGGGCGUAAAGGGUGCGUAGGCGGCCCUUUAAGUCGGAUGUGAAAGCCCGCGGCUUAACCGCGGAAUGGCAUUCGAAACUGGAGGGCUUGAGUGUCGGAGAGGGUAGUGGAAUUCCCAGUGUAGCGGUGAAAUGCGUAGAUAUUGGGAGGAACACCAGUGGCGAAGGCGACUACCUGGACGAUAACUGACGCUGAGGCACGAAAGCUAGGGGAGCAAACAGGAUUAGAUACCCUGGUAGUCCUAGCCGUAAACGAUGGGUACUAGGUGUGGGUGGUUUCGAUACCAUCCGUGCCGUAGUUAACGCAUUAAGUACCCCGCCUGGGGAGUACGUGCGCAAGCAUGAAACUCAAAUGAAUUGACGG
rnacentral:rRNA from 1 species